UGAGAGAGAGAGAGAGAGAGAGAGAGAGAAAAGGUCAAAAAAUUGUUUUUUUUUUUGUGGAUCUUUGGGUUCAUCAACUUAUGCAGAAAUAAUAAAGUCACACAACAAAAUCAAGCUGUUAUAUUUUCGAGAGGACAAGUCAGCAUUUUGUUACAUUGGUUCAAAAGUUUUGCCUACCACAUAGGGUUUGAAUUUUCUUAAAAAGAGUAAGAUUUUCAUGUCUCGACUUGAUCGGCUAACUUG
rnacentral:lncRNA from 1 species